AUGAAAAAACAUGAGAGUUUGGAGCUCGACUCGAAGACGCGAGCGUCCGAGCUUGCUGCGGCCCUUAAAACUGCCAAAUCUGCCAAGGCCGAAGCCCAGAAGGUCCUCCAGGAAUUGGAUGCGGUGAAAAAGAUAGCGGCGGGUAAGGCAUUCUCUAUGCAAAGCAGACAUAUAAAAGUAAACUACUUGUUACUUACCCGAAUCCGGAGCUCUCCAGGGGCAUUCGCAGAUCUUCCCCGCAGCGUAUCCGAUGCCGCCGCAUUCUACCGAGCCGAGGAAGGCAGCUCAACGGAGAAGGUGUUCUGGUCUCAGUACGCUGAGGCCGGACACCCUGUGCCCUUGAGCGACCAGCUGAAGCAGCUGGUCGAGCUCCACAAGGCGGCCGAACAGGCCCUGAAGGGCUUCAUAGUUCGGCUGUGGCCUGGAGAGGCCCUGCCUAGGAGCUACUUUGGACUGGUGCAGCGGCUGGUGGAGGCUUGUCCAAGGCUCGAGGUCAUCAAGCGCUCCGUCUGCAUCGAAGGUGCUCGUAGGGCCCUUGCCCGUGCAAAGGUGCACUGGGGUAAGCUGGACGAUGAGAAGCUUGUGAGGGACGGGCCGCCGCCGGGGAAGGAGCAUCGCAAACCCGAGAACUAUUACAAGGAUGUUCUGGCCGGUGCCCACCUUAUGGCGGAUGAAUGCACCAAGGAUGUAAUUUUUGAAUGA
rnacentral:rRNA from 1 species